rnacentral:rRNA from 1 species
AUUGAACGCUGGCGGCAGGCCUAACACAUGCAAGUCGAGCGAGCGGCGGACGGGUGAGUAAUGUAUGGGGACUGCCCGAUAGAGGGGGAUAACUACUGGAACCGGUGGCUAAUACCGCAUACUGUCGGCUACCCCAUCUGGGAUUAGCUAGUAGGUCAGGUAAUGGCUUACCUAGGCGACGAUCCCUCGCUGGUCUGAGAGAAUGAUCAGCCACACUGGGACUGAGACACGGCCCAGACUCCUACGGAGGCAGCAGUGGGGAAUAUUGCACAAUGGGCGCAAGCCUGAUGCAGCCAUGCCGCGUGUAUGAAGAAGGCCCUAGGGUUGUAAAGUACUUUCAGUCGGGAGGCGGUACCGACAGAAGAAGCACCGGCUAACUCCGUGCCAGCAGCCGCGGUAAUAC